rnacentral:rRNA from 1 species
UACGUAGGUGGCAAGCGUUGUCCGGAUUUACUGGGCGUAAAGCGCCCGCAGGCGGCUUGGCAAGUUUGGGGUGAAAUCUCCCGGCUCAACUGGGAGGGUGCCUCGAAAACUGCCAGGCUUGAGGCAUGGAGAGGGAUGCGGAAUUCCCGGUGUAGUGGUGAAAUGCGUAGAUAUCGGGAGGAACACCAGUGGCGAAGGCGGCAUCCUGGCCAUGUCCUGACGCUCAGGGGCGAAAGCGUGGGGAGUAAACCGG